AAAAUGACAUAAAAAUGGACGAAAUGAGUAUUAAAGUAUCAUGUAUUUCAGUUCUUAAUCUUUAAUUUUAAACAUUUUAGUCCAUCUUUUAGUUGCAAUAACAUUUUGUCUCUGUUUCAUUUAUUUUUUCAAGAUUAAGUUUGAAAACUCAAUGACUAAAAAGUUAUUUUACUUAAAAUAUGAAGGACUAAAAAGUACUAAAAGGCCUAGUGUAUAUUUUUUCAAAAGUUAAGGACUAGACUAUUUAAUCCAUGCAAGUGUGAUUAUUGCUUAAUGUCAGGAGCUUUUUGUAGUUUACCCCAAACAAAAAUUCCCACCCCUCUUUAAGAUCCUGGCUCUACUACUGGUUUAUCCAUUUCAUUAAAUCUUCAGAAAUAGUUUGCAUAAACAAGCUGGUUUGGGAAUCAGAUCAGUGUUUG
rnacentral:misc_RNA from 1 species